CCUACGGGAGGCAGCAGUGGGGAAUUUUGGACAAUGGGCGCAAGCCUGAUCCAGCAAUGCCGCGUGAGUGAAGAAGGCCUUCGGGUUGUAAAGCUCUUUUGUCAGGGAAGAAACGGUGGGAGCUAAUAUCUCCCGCUAAUGACGGUACCUGAAGAAUAAGCACCGGCUAACUACGUGCCAGCAGCCGCGGUAAUACGUAGGGUGCAAGCGUUAAUCGGAAUUACUGGGCGUAAAGCGUGCGCAGGCGGUUUUGUAAGUCUGUCGUGAAAGCCCCGGGCUCAACCUGGGAAUUGCGAUGGAGACUGCAAGGCUUGAAUCUGGCAGAGGGGGGUAGAAUUCCACGUGUAGCAGUGAAAUGCGUAGAGAUGUGGAGGAACACCGAUGGCGAAGGCAGCCCCCUGGGUCAAGAUUGACGCUCAUGCACGAAAGCGUGGGGAGCAAACAGGAUUAGAUACCCUGGUAGUCCACGCCCUAAACGAUGUCUACUAGUUGUCGGGUUUUAAUUAACUUGGUAACGCAGCUAACGCGUGAAGUAGACCGCCUGGGGAGUACGGUCGCAAGAUUAAAACNCAAAGGAAUUGACGGCNGAGAGNGACGACGACGACGACGAGGGAGGAGG
rnacentral:rRNA from 1 species